AUGAAACACUCCUACGGGAGGCAGCAGUGGGGAAUUUUGGACAAUGGGCGAAAGCCUGAUCCAGCCAUGCCGCGUGAGUGAUGAAGGCCUUAGGGUUGUAAAGCUCUUUCGGCGGGGACGAUAAUGACGGUACCCGCAGAAGAAGCCCCGGCUAACUUCGUGCCAGCAGCCGCGGUAAUACGAAGGGGGCUAGCGUUGUUCGGAAUCACUGGGCGUAAAGGGCGCGUAGGCGGCUGUUCAAGUCGGGGGUGAAAGCCUGUGGCUCAACCACAGAAUGGCCUUCGAUACUGGACGGCUCGAGACCGGAAGAGGUAAGUGGAACUGCGAGUGUAGAGGUGAAAUUCGUAGAUAUUCGCAAGAACACCAGUGGCGAAGGCGGCUUACUGGUCCGGUUCUGACGCUGAGGCGCGAAAGCGUGGGGAGCAAACAGGAUUAGAAACCCUUGUAGUCCGAAGUUC
rnacentral:rRNA from 1 species